CGAAAUUGGUAGACGCUACGGACUUAAAAUCCGUCGACUUUCGAAAUCGUGAGGGUUCAAGUCCCUCUAUCCCCA
rnacentral:tRNA from 1 species